CUCUUCAAGCACCUCUGAGAUUCUGAUGUUGAUUGCUGGAAGGGAAGAAGACUUAAGCAAUCUCUAGUUAAAGGCUUGGUAACAAUUCUCAUCUCCCUCUCACCUCCAAAGAGUGCUUUGCAACAUGCCUUCUGUAAGAGGCGAAGAGUGACAUUAAAGCAAGGGCAUGAGAUUGCCACUUAUGUAUGCAUGCAUGGAGACUUUGCAUCACUGAAAGCCUCAGCAGGAAAAGUUUUCCUAAAAGUGCUCCCAUUGCCAGAGGUACCCUAUUCCUCAUAUUCAGGAAAAGACCUUCUUGUGCUUUGCUCCCAGGUUGGAGGAAGUAUGGAGCAGAAGAUAAGAAACAGGAGCGUACCUUGAAGGUAGAUGUCAGAAAUCAUAAAGAAUUUUUCCUGUUUUGUCAGAACAAAUUAGGAAGAAAUCAGGAGCAACCACACAGCUAGGCUCGCCUUCCUUCACUGAGGAAGAGAACAUUACAGAGGAACCUUGAUUUAAUGGAUCGACAGAGGGAAGAUGGUGUCUGUUGUUAUUUCUGAUUGUCUGUUAAAUCAGAGAGUGAAUCAUCACAGCCAUUGAGGUCGGUUGCACAGAUGCAUCCAAGGAAGACAUAAUUUGCACUUCUAAGUCAUGUGAUAACAUUUUGGGAAAAUGCCUGAUACAAAUGGGAAUGACUUGAAUAGUGACAUUUUCAAACAAAUGAUAGAAAUUGACUUAGAAAUUUGGCAUCUCUCUAUCCAUCAUCUAUCUAUCUAUCUAUCUAUCUAUCUAUCUAUCUAUCUAUCUAUCUAAAUAUAUGGAAGGUUGUAUAUGGGUGAAUCACAAUUUAUACCACUCGAGGCUCUGUUUGUGUGGGUGUGUGUAGCUAUUAUUUACUUGCAACAUUUUGCAAAUAAAGAUGGACAUUUUAAUAUCUUCA